rfam:Stegodyphus mimosarum contig73281, whole genome shotgun sequence.
GCCCUCGUGGUAUAAUGGUCAGCACAUUUGGCGCGUAUUUGAGAUGUCCGAGGUUCGAGUCCCGGCGAAGGCA